GUCUACAGCCAUACCACCCUGAACAUGCCCGAUCUCAUCUGAUGUUAGAAGCUAAGCAGGGUCAGGCCUGGUUAGUACUUGGAUGGGAGGAAUACAGAGAGCAGGGGGCAGUGGGUG
ensembl:rRNA 5S_rRNA 5S ribosomal RNA